GGCGGCAUAGCUCAGACGGAAGAGCGCAUCUCUCAUACGGAUGAUGUCGGUGGUUCAAGUCCACCUGCCGCCACCA
rnacentral:tRNA from 1 species